GCGUUGAUGUGUAAUGGUUAGCAUUGCUGCCUUCCAAGCAGUAGAUCUGGGUUCGAUUCCCGGUCAACGCA
rnacentral:tRNA from 1 species